GACGAACGCUGGCGGCGUGCUUAACACAUGCAAGUCGAACGGAAAGGCCCUGCUUUUGUGGGGUGCUCGAGUGGCGAACGGGUGGGUAACACGUGAGUAACCUGCCCUUGACUUUGGGAUAACUUCAGGAAACUGGGGCUAAUACCGGAUAGGAUCUCCUGCUGCAUGGUGGGGGUUGGAAAGUUUCGGCGGUUGGGGAUGGACUCGCGGCUUAUCAGCUUGUUGGUGGGGUAGUGGCUUACCAAGGCUUUGACGGGUAGCCGGCCUGAGAGGGUGACCGGGCACAUUGGGACUGAGAUACGGACCAGACUCCUACGGGAGGCAGCAGUGGGGAAUAUUGCACAAUGGGCGGAAGCCUGAUGCAGCAACGCCGCGUGCGGGAUGACGGCCUUCGGGUUGUAAACCGAUUUCGCCUGUGACGAAGCGUGAGUGACGGUAAUGGGUAAAGAAGCACCGGCUAACUACGUG
rnacentral:rRNA from 1 species